UGUAAUAUUUAUAAAACAAAUAUUUCUAAAAGGUAUAUAAAAGGCAAGUAAACAGCGCUGGGUGUGCAGGGAGUCUACUCUCCACCAACAUGCACACACAAACAUCAAACGUUCUAAAUACAUGUAUACAGAGCGUUGCUUUACAUAAUAACCCUAGUAUGCCUAUACAUACAUACAAUCAGGAUAGGUAACAAACAAUCCUUUAAGUUCCAUAACUUAACAGUCUCCAUUCUCCCAGUCUGUUCCUCUUCACUUCUUUUUCCUACUUCUUUACUGAUGUAACUUCAUAGCUUUUUUUUUUUUUUUUUUUUUUUCUUUUUUUUCUUGAGGGCAGGCUCCCCUCUUAUACCCUUCUCUCCACAGCAGUUCUUUUCCAAACAACUUUUUUAUUGGUCAAACAACUUUGAAUGUAACAACAACAGCAAACACCCAGAAACAUCCAUGCCUUAAUGGCUGGAGAACAAGAAACCCCAGACUGCAUGGAGUCUCCUGAACCACCCUUCUUUGUUAAUAUCAACCAUUUUCUCGACACGAAUUACCACUCCAUAUAUAACAUUUCCCCAACUUGUACUUCAAAGGUUCACAAAAAUAAGCCUUUUCAGGUUGAUCGGUUGCACCUUUUACCUUAACAUAAUCAUUCCAUAAAGGCAUUAAUGCUUGAUUUAGAACCGAAUAUGUUGCCCCAUAUCAGUAAGAAAUUUCACUUCUGUUCCUCCCCUAACUUCAUUAUAACCAGUAGAGGAUCUGCUAGGGUAGAUUCCCCAGGUCCCCGUUAUACCUGUUGAAAUCAGGGUCCGAUGAAUCAGGGGCCGAUGAUUACCCUAGAAAAAGGCUAGUCAAUUUGUCCUCUGAAGCCAGGUCCAAACCGUUUUUUUUGUUUGUUUGUUUGUUUUGUUUUGUUUUUUUCCUUCCCCAUUACAUUUCAGAGUUGGUCCAAAAAUUCCACAGGGGCUUCUUUUGGACCUUGUUGGAAGCAUAUUCUCAAUUCCCAAUUCGUCCAGAUUCUAGUAUUUACUUAACCGUUCAUACUUUUCAGGAUGAUUAGGGUCUUAGUGGGGGUCGGUCAGGGGAAUGCAGUUGUCCACGGUUCCCUGAGCGAUCCCAUCGGCAAUCUGAGCUCACACAUGAACUCAGGUUGUUUGAAGAGUUAACUGCUUUUCUGUUUCUGUGACAACUCUCUGGGACCCAUCAUGAUCCCUUUGCCCCAGAGGGCUAACACCCAAGAUUUUAAGGUCGCAGCCCCGGGCUGAGACAGAACUGUUAACAUUCCUACAUCCUCUUUCCCUGC
rnacentral:lncRNA from 1 species